GACGAACCACCCAAACGUGAUUCGGAAUCACUGGGCGUAAAGCGCGCGUAGGCGGCGUGAUAAGCCGGUUGUGAACGCCCCGGGCUCAACCUGGGAACGGCAUCCGGAACUGUCAGGCUAGAGUGCAGGAGAGGAAGGUAGAAUUCCCGGUGUAGCGGUGAAAUGCGUAGAGAUCGGGAGGAAUACCAGUGGCGAAGGCGGCCUUCUGGACUGACACUGACGCCGAGGUGCGAAAGCGUGGGUAGCAAACAGG
rnacentral:misc_RNA from 1 species